UACGUAGGGUCCGAGCGUUGUCCGGAAUUACUGGGCGUAAAGAGCUCGUAGGUGGUUUGUCGCGUUGUUCGUGAAAACUCACAGCUCAACUGUGGGCGUGCGGGCGAUACGGGCAGACUGGAGUACUGCAGGGGAGACUGGAAUUCCUGGUGUAGCGGUGGAAUGACGCAGAUAUCAGGAGGAACACCGGUGGCGAAGGCGGGUCUCUGGGCAGU
rnacentral:rRNA from 1 species